rnacentral:rRNA from 1 species
UACAGGGGGGCAAGCGUUGUUCGGAAUUACUGGCGUAAAGGGCUCGUAGGCGGCCAACUAAGUCCGACGUGAAAUCCCCAAGCUUAACUUGGGAACUGCGUCGGAUACUGGAUGGCUUGAAUUCGGGAGAGGAUGCAGAAUUCCAGGUGUAGCGGUGAAAUGCGUAGAUAUCUGGAGGAAUACCGGUGGCGAAGGCGGCAUCCUGGACCGACAUUGACGCUGAGGAGCGAA